AAGCGUCUAGUCAACCAGGAGCUGUCUUCAAACCGGAAGUUAAGCUGUUUGCCUUGGUGAUCGGAUUUCCUGGACCAGGGCAGAAUAUAACCAGUCAGGAAGAGCUAUAUUGAAACAGUAGGAGGAGUCGAGGAGAUGCCAUGUAGCUGCCAAAGAAGGACUCCAGCCAGAACCUUAGUGUGGCAUGCAGAAGGCGGACAAGCUGCAGAGAGUCUGGAAUUGCUUGUGUUUUGACAAAACUUCCAGCAACAGAAUCCACCUUCCUCUCUACUUGACCAAGCAGCAGCGAUGGUGACAGCAAACAGGACACCUCUUCAUCCCUGCUCGUCCUUCAGAGAGGAUGCACAGUGAAGUCACCCACAAAGAGCACAGCUUCCCCAGCCCUGCAUUAGCUCUGCCCAGCAGAGGUUCCUGUUUCUGCAUUCCCAAAGGCCUCUGUUCUCACCUUUACCUGAGAUUACACUACAGAGGAACUUAAAGGCUCAGGUUCUACUGCAAAGAAGUGGGCAUUUCUGUGUAAAGGGCCAGGCAUUGGUCAUUAUGGAACACUGCGAGGUAAUUGCUACAUAGGUCGGGGUUAAAAUCCAUGGAACCAAAGGCUUAUCACUCGUGCUGGGGGACAAGAGGACACCACAAUCACAUUUUUUCCUGGGUCCUUUCUCCUCCUGAGGCUUAUGGGUUCUAAAGGGCAGAAGCAGCAGAUGGCCCUUUGCCCCUUCAGUAUCACUAAGCACUUCUCAUAUCACAGUCCAGAGAAAAGCAUUUUGUACUCCAAGAUAAUAAUGGCAGUAUCAAUCUACUGGUAGUAUGUUUAAAAUGAUAAAACCUAAUCAUUUCUCAUAGAGCUGGACCUUGCCAAGGGUGGUUCUGGGUGUUUUCUGUAGCUGAGUUUGCUGUUGUGAGGAUGCACAAUCUUCAGGACCAUGAUGGCUAUGGGUGUCACUCACCCUGCUUCAAAAGCAGUUCUGCACACUUGGAAACAUUCAGUUUUGUUUUGGUUUUCCAUCAAAUAUUUUUAUUUUUCAGGUAAGCCUUCUUAGACUCUUGUGGCAGGUAAACUGUCCUUUCUGGAAUGCUCUAUCCCUGAGUCACUUCAACAAAGGGUCAUGGCUGAAAAGAUGUCUCAGUGGGUGAUGUGUUUUCUGGGCAAGCCUGGCUACCUGACUUCAAUCCCUGGAACCCAUGUAAAAGUGGAUGGAAAGAACUAACUCUACAAAGUUCACACACGCGCACAUACACCCACACCCACAUACACACAAAUAAUUUUAAAGCAAGGCUAAAAGGCCCACUGGUCCUCUGGACUCAGAAGACAACAUGCUCCUCCCAGAAGUUGCAUUUUCUGUAAGUGAUAAGGGACAGGACUGAAAACUGAAGCCCUCGCGUUCCCUUGGUGUUAGAGGCUGUAAUCUAAGCUCCAACUCAACUGUCACAGUGUUCCCUCAGCUCUACCAGACAAACCUGACACUGGUGUCAGCAUCCCUUCCCAGGGCUUUCUUUGUUGGGUUUAGGUACACUAAUUCACACGCAUUGUGCUAAAAAGUGGAAAAACUGUAAAUGAAGAUUGACCCCAGAGACAUAAAUGCUGGAAAUUCUCAGCUCAAACAGCAAACAAUAAUAAAGAGUGCAGCUACCUUGUUUUUCUGGAGCUCCAUCUGGCUGCACUAGCUGCUUGACUGUAUAAAUGUGGUCUUAGCUCUGCUCGGGUUGAGGAUUGCCCGCCUUACCCCCAGCAGUGCCCACUGGGCACAGCACAUGUUUGGUCUGUGUCUGUUAAGUGACUGAACUGUGUGAACUUGGAAGCUUUUUGGUCCACAGGUGAGGGCUGUAAUUGUAUCUAUUAUAAAGGGGCACCCAUUUAUAGCUCUUUCAAGUGUAAAUGUUACUCUAUUGUGUUAGCUGUUAUUAUUUUGUGUAAAAGUACAGCUUUUUGUAUAAAAGUAUCAUUUUGUAUAAAAGUACAGGAGAGAUCACUCAGCAUCUAUGUAGAAUGGUUCACAACUGCCUAUCACUCCCAUUCAGGGGGACUCAGUGCCCUCUCCUGACCUCCGAGGGUACCUACACACACACACACACACACACACACACACACACACGGACUACAGGUACACGCUAAGUAAAUAAAUGUUAAAAAUAGAUUCUAGUAACUUUGACUAAUAGACUUUUUCAAGAAGAAUUUUACAAUUAGCUGAGUUUUUUUUUUCCAUUUGAAAAGAAGAACCUUGUUCAUUCAGGUACCCACUGACAAUAGUUGCUGAGCCCAGUCUACCCUGGAAUAGACUGAACGUGAAAUUUCCCACUGCACAGUAAGUGCUUCUGCUGUCAGAGUAGUGUGUGUGGGAGUGUGAGAAAGCCAGCUCUCUAGAAGGAGCGGUGGAGCAGACCUAAAGCCAACCCUCUCACUUCCUUCAUAGCGUGGCCAGAAACCCCAGAGGGUAGUCUCAGUGGAACAGUGGCGUUAAGCUGGGGAAUGGUGGUGCACAACAGGCAGACCUCUGUGAGAUCGAGGCCAACCUGGUCUACAGAGCUAGUUCCAGGACAGCCAAGACUACCCAGAGAAGCUUCGUCUUGAAAGACCAAAAUAAACAAAUAGACGAAUCUCUGUUCAACAUCUAGACAGAAGCACACAGAGGAUGGGAGCCUAGAGAGGGGAAGCGGGAACAAUUGUAAAGGGCAGAGAUGCUGUGAGAGGUACAGACUAGCCAGUCCUCGAUUCUCGAGCACACACCUCUCCUUCCAAGGCAGCCCAAGCAGGAACCAUGAGGCAGCACAAGACUGGAAUCAAACCCUUUAGUAGUCAGUACUUCUAUCACCGCGCCAAACACACAUGAGAGAUUGCUUAACACGUAAGGAGUUGAUUAGGGCUCCCAGUUGCAGAGGUUUCACUUGGUGCUCAACUCUCUCUGUGUUCGGGCCUAUGGUAAGAAGGAUCACCAUGGCGAAAGGCCUGGUGAGAUAGAGGCACUUGCCUCAUGGAGGUCAAGAGACAGACCCAGGGAUAGACAGGUGUGAGAGACAUCCUUUACAGGUUCACCUCCACUGCCCCUUUAACAAGUAGACCGCACCUCCUAACAUUCCCAUCGUGUCUCAAAUCCUAACACCACCAUGCUACAUCGUACUCCAAGGAUAAGAGUGGAAGGUCCUAAGUCUGCAGUACUCAGCACACGGAAAGAUCUCAGAACAACUGCCUAAAAUACACAACAUGAACUAGAAAGAAAGCUUUAGUUUUACACACUUUCUGAGUUCAUCUUCUCACUGCAUGGAUGAUACAGAUGGUUGCAGAUCAAACACCUGUCUAGAGUCUGAAACAAUACUUUUUUGAAUGAAACUUAAUGUUUAUACAGUAUAUUCCAGUCAUAGCUUCUCCCUCAUGUCCUCCCAGAUCCUCCCUACCCCCUCCAAUUGUAUACCUUCUUUCUCACUCUCCCUCUCUUUAGAAAAGCAAGCAAAAAAGAAUAAAACAAAACAGAAAAAGUAUAAGAAAUACAUUAUAUGCAUACACACACAACCCUUAAAAACACAAAAUCUGAAACCAUAACAUAAAAGCAUAAUAACCAGUAAAGAAAAAAAAAAACCUAAAACCUUAGGAGACAAAAAGAAAAUCUCUAAAAAUAUCACUGAAUUAAUUUUGUGUUGGCCAUCUAUUGCUGGACAUGGGAUGGUUGGUAUACCAAGUGAGACUCCAUUGGGAAAAGUAAUUUUUCCUUUACAAGUGGUUGACACUUGGAGAUAGCCUCUGAGUGUUGCGGGAGGUCCUUCCGCUCCUCCAGCCUAUAGCCGCUGAGAUACCAGCCCAUUGGGGCGUGGUCUCUCUCCCUUUAAAAAAGCGGCUACUUCCCUUCUCGCUCU